GAUGAACGCUGGCGGCGUGCUUAACACAUGCAAGUCGAACGGUGAAAGAGAGCUUGCUCUCUGGAUCAGUGGCGAACGGGUGAGUAACACGUGAGCAAUCUGCCCCUGACUCUGGGAUAAGCGCUGGAAACGGCGUCUAAUACCGGAUACGAGCUGCGAAGGCAUCUUCAGCAGCUGGAAAGAACUUCGGUCAGGGAUGAGCUCGCGGCCUAUCAGCUAGUUGGUGAGGUAACGGCUCGCCAAGGCGUCGACGGGUAGCCGGCCUGAGAGGGUGACCGGCCACACUGGGACUGAGACACGGCCCAGACUCCUACGGGAGGGAGCAGUGGGGAAUAUUGCACAAUGGGCGAAAGCCUGAUGCAGCAACGCCGCGUGAGGGACGACGGCCUUCGGGUUGUAAACCUCUUUUAGCAGGGAAGAAGCGAAAGUGACGGUACCUGCAGAAAAAGCACCGGCUAACUACGUG
rnacentral:rRNA from 1 species